rnacentral:lncRNA from 1 species
CUAAAUUUGAAAGUAGUGCCAUUCAUUUGACUACCAAACCAAGGAACUUUGCAUCGUUCUUUUUAUAGGAGAUUUAAGAAAGGAUAUUAUCAUAGAUAUUAUCUAACACUAUUUCUAAGUAUAUUUGAUCAUAAAAAGCCUCCUGGAAUUUGAAGCAUGACAUGUUUCUAAUCCCCAUUAAGGGUAGGAAAAUGUCAUAAAAUGAUCAAUAUGCUAGGCUUGCUUUAUUUGGAGAAGAAUUACUAAUACACUGUUCUGGGUAUGAAAUGUGGACCACUCUAGUCUGAGGUGUUUUUAGGCCCUGCUACCACCCAUAGACCAGGCAAACACAGAAAGAAGCCAUAAAUGUUUUUCCUAGAAGAUGGGGUCCCCACACAGCCAAUCUGAUACACUUCCUGUGUCUAUGCAAAC